rnacentral:rRNA from 1 species
GAUGAACGCUGACAGAAUGCUUAACACAUGCAAGUCAACUGUGGCGGACGGGUGAGUAACGCGUAAAGAACUUGCCUCACAGUUAGGGACAACAUUUGGAAACGAAUGCUAAUACCUGAUACUGUGAGAGAGCUUUGCGUCCCAUUAGCUAGUUGGAGAGGUAACGGCUCACCAAGGCGAUGAUGGGUAGCCGGCCUGAGAGGGUGAUCGGCCACAAGGGGACUGAGACACGGCCAUUAGUCCUUCGGGAGGCAGGAGUGGAGAAUAGUGGACAAGGGACCAAAGUCUGAACCAGCAAUUCUGGGUGCACGAUGAAGUUGUCGGAAUGUAAAGGGCUUUCAGUUGGGAAGCGGUACCAACAGAAGAAGCAACGGCUAAAUACGUGCCAGCAGCCGCGGUAAUAC